GAUGAACGCUGGCGGCGUGCCUAAUACAUACAAGUCGAGCGAACGGACGAGAAGCUUGCUUCUCUGAUGCUAGCGGCGGACGGGUGAGUAACACGUGGAUAACCUACCUAUAAGACUGGGAUAACUUCGGGAAACCGGAGCUAAUACCGGAUAAUAUUUUGAACCGCAUGGUUCAAAAGUGAAAGACGGUCUUGCUGUCACUUAUAGAUGGAUCCGCGCUGCAUUAGCUAGUUGGUAAGGUAACGGCUUACCAAGGCAACGAUGCAUAGCCGACCUGAGAGGGUGAUCGGCCACACUGGAACUGAGACACGGUCCAGACUCCUACGGGAGGCAGCAGUAGGGAAUCUUCCGCAAUGGGCGAAAGCCUGACGGAGCAACGCCGCGUGAGUGAUGAAGGUCUUCGGAUCGUAAAACUCUGUUAUUAGGGAAGAACAUAUGUGUAAGUAACUGUGCACAUCUUGACGGUACCUAAUCAGAAAGCCACGGCUAACUACGUG
rnacentral:rRNA from 1 species